rnacentral:rRNA from 1 species
GAUGAACGCUGGCGGCGUGCCUAAUACAUGCAAGUCGAGCGAACAGAUGAGGAGCUUGCUCCUCUGACGUUAGCGGCGGACGGGUGAGUAACACGUGGAUAACCUACCUAUAAGACUGGGAUAACUUCGGGAAACCGGAGCUAAUACCGGAUAAUAUAUUGAACCGCAUGGUUCAAUAGUGAAAGACGGUUUUGCUGUCACUUAUAGAUGGAUCCGCGCCGCAUUAGCUAGUUGGUAAGGUAACGGCUUACCAAGGCAACGAUGCGUAGCCGACCUGAGAGGGUGAACGGCCCCACUGGAACUGAGACACGGUCCAGACUCCUACGGGAGGCAGCAGUAGGGAAUCUUCCGCAAUGGGCGAAAGCCUGACGGAGCAACGCCGCGUGAGUGAUGAAGGUCUUCGGAUCAUAAAACUCUGUUAUUAGGGAAGAACAAAUGUGUAAGUAACUAUGCACGUCUUGACGGUAGCUAAUCAGAAAGCCACGGCUAACUACGUG